rnacentral:rRNA from 1 species
GAUGAACGCUGGCGGCGUGCCUAAUACAUGCAAGUCGAGCGAACAGACGAGGAGCUUGCUCCUCUGACGUUAGCGGCGGACGGGUGAGUAACACGUGGAUAACCUACCUAUAAUACUGGGAUAACUUCGGGAAACCGGAGCUAAUACCGGAUAAUAUAUUGAACCGCAUGGUUCAAUAGUGAAAGACGGUUUUGCUGUCACUUAUAGCUGGAUCCGCGCCGCAUUAGCUAGUUGGUAAGGUAACGGCUUACCAAGGCGACGAUGCGUAGCCGACCUGAGAGGGUGAUCGGCCACACUGGAACUGAGACACGGUCCAGACUCCUACGGGAGGCAGCAGUAGGGAAUCUUCCGCAAUGGGCGAAAGCCUGACGGAGCAACGCCGCGUGAGUGAUGAAGGUCUUCGGAUCGUAAAACUCUGUUAUUAGGGAAGAACAAAUGUGUAAGUAACUAUGCACGUCUUGACGGUACCUAAUCAGAAAGCCACGGCUAACUACGUG